CAUUAUCGGACGUGAAGAUGUCAAUCAACUUCUCACGAGAGCAUGGCUGAAUAUUUCAAUUUUGCAAGUUUUUAUGAUAGCCUUGAGUGACAUACUCGAUACGGUGGAUGUGGCUUCCAUUGGAUUCAUGUGUCCGGAAAUGAUUUCAGAAACCUAUUUGCAUAGUGAUGCAGAUCGUAUCCUACUAUACAUGACACAUGUGAUGGAAAAACAAAAAUCUAAGCAGUUCAUCUUAUGCCCAUACCAUGAAAAGAAUCAUUGGAUUCUUUUGGUCUUAUGCAUGGCUAAGCGUGAAGUCAUCAUCUUUGAUUCUUUGAAGCAGAAG